UACAUGUGGGGCAAGCGUUGUUCGGAAUUACUGGGCGUAAAGGGCUCGUAGGCGGCCAACUAAGUCAGACGUGAAAUCCCUCGGCUUAACCGGGGAACUGCGUCUGAUACUGGAUAGCUUGAGUUCGGGAGAGGGAUGCGGAAUUCCAGGUGUAGCGGUGAAAUGCGUAGAUAUCUGGAGGAACACCGGUGGCGAAGGCGGCAUCCUGGACCGACACUGACGCUGAGGAGCGAAAGCCAGGGGAGCAAACGGG
rnacentral:rRNA from 1 species